CCAGACUCCUACGGGAGGCAGCAGUGGGGGAUAUUGCACAAUGGGGGCAACCCUGAUGCAGCGACGCCGCGUGAGCGAUGGAGUACUUCGGUAUGUAAAGCUCUGUCAGCAGGGAAGAGAAUGACGGUACCUGACUAAGAAGCCCCGGCUAACUACGUGCCAGCAGCCGCGGUAAUACGUAGGGGGCAAGCGUUAUCCGGAUUUACUGGGUGUAAAGGGAGCGUAGACGGCAUGGCAAGCCAGAUGUGAAAUACCGGGGCUCAACCCCGGGACUGCAUUUGGAACUGUUAAGCUGGAGUGUCGGAGAGGCAGGCGGAAUUCCUAGUGUAGCGGUGAAAUGCGUAGAUAUUAGGAGGAACACCAGUGGCGAAGGCGGCCUGCUGGACGAUAACUGACGUUGAGGCUCGAAAGCGUGGGGAGCAAACAGGAUUAGAUACCCUCGUAA
rnacentral:rRNA from 1 species